rnacentral:lncRNA from 1 species
AUUGAAGAGGAGGAUCCAAAGUUCUCUAUCAUAGUUUCGUCCCAGAAGGCUCUAUGAAAGAAACCUGAUACCAAAGAAGGUUUUUCGCAUACAAGAUGAAAGUGAGAAAUCUUAUCUAUAAAAACAUUGAUUCUGAUUGAAAGGGUUCAGAUUCAAAAAAAUCAAAAUCAAAAACAAAAAAAGAAAAAAAAAUCAAAGUCAAAAGCAAAAUAGAGAAAUCAAUCAAAG